GGUAACUAAAAAAUAUGAUUAAAAUUUAGGUAUCAUAUUAUAAUUUACGUUUUUUAUACAAUCUAUUUAGCUUGCCCAGCAGAGAAACCCGAAAAGGCAAGCUCCUGAGAAGCUAGCUGAGUCUCUAUCCCUUCUUCACAGAGCAAUUUAAAAUGGCUGGGAGGAAUCGAAUUCAUCGUGAGUCCUAUAAUGACCUUCGUGGGUUCCCCCGUGAGAGACCUUUUAUUCGUGGCCCUCCUUUGCCACAUCCACCUCCACCUCCUCACCCUGCCUUGUUGGAGGAUGAACUUGAAAUACAGCAUGCUGAAAUCCGUGGGCUCCUUGGUGAUAAUCGUCGGCUGAUUGAAGAUCGGAUGGCUAUGCAGCAAGAGCUUGGUGCUGCCAAGGAGGAACUUCAUCGCAUGAAUCUUGUCAUUGGUGAAAUGCAUACAGAACAUGAAGUGCACUUGAGGGAGCUUAUUGAGAAAAGCUUGAAGCUGGAGGCUGAUCUUCGUGCAACUGAGCCUUUGAAGAAUGAGGUUGUACAACUUCGUGCAGAAGUUCAGAAACUGAAUAAUGUAAAGCAGGAUCUACUUGGGCAAAUUCAGAGCCUUAAACAAGACCUUGCAAGAUCACAAGCUGAUAGUAAACAGAUUCCUCUUUUGCGGGGUGAGAUUGAGGGCCUGCACCAGGACGUUAUGCAUGCUAGAACUGCUAUUGAUUAUGAAAAGAAGGCAAACAUUGAGUUGGUGGAGCAGAGGCAGGCAAUGGAGAAGAACAUGGUGUCUAUGGCUCGUGAAGUUGAAAAGCUACGGGCUGAACUUACUAGUGCUGACGCUCAACCCUGGGUUGCUGGUGGACCAUAUGGGAUGAAGUUCGGUAAUCCAGAGGGGGUGUUUCCUGCACCUUAUGGGGAUGGAUAUGGGGUUCAUAUGGUUGCUGCUGACAAAGGUCCUUUGUAUGGCCCUGGUCCUGCUUCAUGGGACAAGUCCCGCAUGCCUCGUCGUUGAUGGUUGCUGGUCAAAUUCAAAAGGGGCAAAGUGUUUUUGUUUCCACCUGUUAUCCUGUUCAAUAUCUCAGUAGGCAAGAAGUGUCUUUCAUCAUUGUGUGCAUGCCAACCAGUGGUCUUUUAUUUAAAUACAUUAUGGAAAACUGGGCGUGAAGGCAGAGGUCAGGUAUUUUUUUAUUACUAUUGCUUUUUUAUACUGGCUCUCCACCUCACAACAGCUUGAAACUGCAUUAUCCCACUUCGAUCACUGAGGUAGGUACCAUCAAAACCAAGUACUACAGAAGAGGAGGUUCUAGUCUUCUGUUAUUAAUAUUUAAAAAAAAAAGUUUUCUGCUUUUCAAAUGAUUUAAAAGGGAAAAAGGACUGCUGAGAAACCAGUUAAUUUGGUUUGAUUUGUUCAAUUUUGGUUUGAAAGUUUAAUCAAUCUUGCCUUUUGGAGUUCAGUUUGGUUGUGAGUUUCUCAGAACAGAAUAAAAUGAUUAUUCUUUGUUGAUUUA